UCAUUGAACCAUUUCAUCUCUUAAUAACAGUUCCUAACUCAGGUUGUCUUCAAAUGUUUGACAGGUCAAGCUAAUGCCUCCUGCCCCAAACGAUGACCUGGCAACGCUCAGCGAGCUCAAUGACGGCAGCCUGCUCUAUGAGAUUCAGAAGCGCUUUGGGAACAAUCAGAUCUAUACAUUCAUUGGAGACAUUCUUUUGCUUGUUAACCCAUACAAGGAGCUUCCAAUUUAUUCUUCCAUGGUGUCCCAGCUGUAUUUCAGCUCCUCAGGGAAGCUGUGUUCCUCGCUGCCUCCUCACCUCUUCUCGUGUGUGGAGAGAGCCUUUCACCAGCUCUUCCGGGAACAGCGGCCUCAGUGUUUCAUCCUCAGUGGAGAAAGGGGAUCAGGAAAGUCUGAAGCCAGCAAACAAAUCAUAAGACACCUCACCUGCAGGGCUGGCGCCAGCAGGGCCACACUGGAUUCCAGAUUCAAACAU
rnacentral:sRNA from 1 species